rnacentral:tRNA from 1 species
AGACUUCUUAGCUUUAAUAGCGUUUUGGUUUCGGCCCAAAAAGGAUAAUUUACAUUAUAGAAGUCUAC